AUUGAACGCUGGCGGCAGGCCUAACACAUGCAAGUCGAACGAGUGGCGGACGGGUGAGUAAUGUCUGGGAAACUGCCUGAUGGAGGGGGAUAACUACUGGAAACGGUAGCUAAUACCGCAUACCAUCAGAUGUGCCCAGAUGGGAUUAGCUUGUGGGGGGGGUAACGGCUCACCAAGGCGACGAACCCUAGCUGGUCUUAGAGGCUGACAAUCCACACUGGAACUGAGACACGGUCCAGACGCCUACGGUAGGCAGCAGUGGGGAAUAUUGCACAAGUGGCGCAAUCCUGAUGCAGCCAUGCAGAGUGUAUGAAGAAGGCCGUAGGGUUGUAAAGUACUUUCAGCGGGGAGGCGUUACCCGCAGAAGAAGCACCGGCUAACUCCGUGCCAGCAGCCGCGGUAAUUC
rnacentral:rRNA from 1 species